UACGAAGGGGGCUAGCGUUGUUCGGAAUUACUGGGCGUAAAGCGCGUGUAGGCGGGUCUUUUAAGUCAGGGGUGAAAUGCCAAGGCUCAACCUUGGAACUGCCUUUGAUACUGGAGACCUUGAGUCCGGGAGAGGUGAGUGGAAUUGCGAGUGUAGAGGUGAAAAUUCGUAGAUAUCGAGAGGAAUACCAACGGCGAAGGCAGGUCACUGGGCAGUUACUGACACUGAGGCACGAAGGCCAGGGGAGCAAAACGGG
rnacentral:rRNA from 1 species